GACGAACGCUGGCGGCGUGCCUAAUACAUGCAAGUAGAACGCAGUUGCGAACGGGUGAGUAACGAGUAGGUAACUGCCUCAUAGCGGGGGAUAACUAUUGGAAACGAUAGCUAAUACCGCAUACAGUGAGAUGGACCUGCGUUGUAGUAGCUAUUUGGUGAGGUAAGGCUCACCAAGGCGACGAUCCAGAGCCGACCGGAGAGGGAGGUCAGCCACACCGGGACUGGAACACGGACCCGAUCCAUACGAGUAGCAGCAGCAGGGGAUCGUCGUAAAUGGACGUAAGUCGGAGCCUGCAACGCCCCGUUAGCGUAGAAGGUUUAGGGACCGUAAGGCUUUAAUUUUAGAGAAGCUGUAAUUAACCAGAAAGGGACGGCUAACUACGUGCCAGCAGCCGCGGUAAUAC
rnacentral:rRNA from 1 species